rnacentral:rRNA from 1 species
CCCUUAGAUGUUCUGGGCCGCACGCGCGCUACACUGACAGAGCCAGCGAGUUAUUCACCUUGGCCGGAAGGUCUGGGUAAUCUUGUGAAACUCUGUCGUGCUGGGGAUAGAGCAUUGCAAUUAUUGCUCUUCAACGAGGAAUUCCUAGUAAGCGUGAGUCAUCAGCUCGCGUUGAUUACGUCCCUGCCCUUUGUACACACCGCCCGUCGCUACUACCGAUUGAAUGGCUUAGUGAGGUCUUGGGAUUGGCUUCGGGGAGCCGGCAACGGCACCCUGUUGCUGAGAACUUGAUCAAACUUGGUCAUUUAGAGGAAGUAAAAGUCGUANCA